ACGUUUCGCUUUCUCCCCACCUCCCUUUAUGCUCUGACCUGGCGCUCACCUGCCGCCGCAGCCACUCCGGCGCACCCACGUUGCAUGUGCCCUGGCUUGAUGGCGGCGUUUCUUUGCCCUGCACCUCUCUCUCGUAGUCUCACCUCCAUCAUACGCUAGCCCAUCCACUCCCCCACCUCCACCUUGCGUGCCCUGGCGCCCAACGAGUGGAGAGGCUUCACUUCGUGGUUUUGCAUGUGGGGGGAAGGGGGGGGGGUCGAAGGCUCGCGCCUUCGCUGGAGGUGCAGAAGCGGGGGAUGGGGAAGGGAAGAUGGCAAGUAAGAGAGCAGCGGCGCCGUCGCGCCCGUGGGGAGGUGUUCGAUCGUGUCUCUGUCUCUUGGUGUGAGCGCGUUGAUGUGGAUGGGUACACACACACACACACACACACACCAGUGUUCUCCCUUCUGCUGCAAUGCUGCGGUGCACUCAUGGCGGCAACUCCCCUGCCUCUCAGCAGGAAGAUGCUCCUCCUGUCCUUGCCGUGAAUGAUGAAGUUGCGUUCGGGUGGCAGUGAGUGUCCGCACGGCAGCGGUGGACUAACCGCUUCCUCUCCCUCGCGCUCUGCCUCCUCCUCCCUCCUCCUCCGCUGCCAGUGAAACAGAACGAAAACUCGAAGAACGUCUUCAUGGCCUCUGUGGGUGGGGAAGCGAAGGGGGAGUUGCGCGCCACUGCGGUGCUCCUGCGCGGCUUCCCAGCGGCAGAAUCGGCGCCGUCACAACCCCUCUCGCGUGGCCACUUGCACAUCGCAAUACACUGCGUCGUCGCUGGUAUGCUCGGCAGCCGGACCCCGAAGCCUCUCGUAUGCUGAUGACUCCUUCCCUGACCUCCUGCGCUUCAUCUUUCGCUUCCCAUGACGGGCAUACGCGCCGCAAUCAGCACUAG
rnacentral:misc_RNA from 1 species